UACGUAGGGUGCGAGCGUUAAUCGGAAUUACUGGGCGUAAAGCGUGCGCAGGCGGUGAUGUAAGACAGAUGUGAAAUCCCCGGGCUCAACCUGGGAACUGCAUUUGUGACUGCAUCGCUGGAGUGCGGCAGAGGGGGGUGGAAUUCCGCGUGUAGCAGUGAAAUGCGUAGAGAUGCGGAGGAACACCGAUGGCGAAGGCAGCCCCCUGGGCCACUACUGACGCUGAGAAGCGAAAGCGUGGGGAGCGAACAGG
rnacentral:rRNA from 1 species